rnacentral:rRNA from 1 species
AUUGAACGCUGGCGGCAUGCCUACACAUGCAAGUCGAACGGUAGGGGGAGCAAUCCCCUGAGAGUGGCGAACGGGUGAGUAAAGCAUCGGAACGUGCCCAGUUGUGGGGGAUAACUACUCGAAAGAGUGGCUAAUACCGCAUACGACCUGAGGGUGAAAGCGGGGGACCGAAAGGCCUCGCGCAGUUGGAGCGGCCGAUGUCAGAUUAGCUAGUUGGGGGGGUAAAGGCCCACCAAGGCGACGAUCUGUAGCUGGUCUGAGAGGACGACCAGCCACGCUGGGGCUGGGACACGGCCCAGACUCCUACGGGAGGAAGCAGUGGGGAAUUUUGGAAAAUGGGCGCAAGCCUGAUCCAGCCAUGCCGCGUGCAGGAAGAAGUCCUUCGGGUUGUAAACUGCUUUUGUAAGGGAAGAAAUCCCUUGGGUUAAUACCUCGGGGGGAUGACGGUACCUGAAGAAUAAGCACCGGCUAACUACGUGCCGGCAGCCGCCGUAA